GCGAGGCCGAAAGGCGUAGUCGAUGGGAAACGGGUUAAUAUUCCCGUACUUCUUACAAUUGCGAUGGGGGGACGGAGAAGGCUAGGUGGGCCUGGCGACGGUUGUCCAGGUUCAAGUGCGUAGGCUUGAGAGUUAGGUAAAUCCGGCUCUCUUUAAGGCUGAGACACGACGUCGAGCACCUACGGGUGUGAAGUCAUUGAUGCCAUGCUUCCAGGAAAAGCCUCUAAGCUUCAGAUUGUAAGGAAUCGUACCCCAAACCGACACAGGUGGUCGGGUAGAG
rnacentral:rRNA from 1 species